GCUGGGCGCAGUGGCGCAUGCCUGUAGUCCCAGCUACUCGGGAGGCUGAGGUGGGAGGAUCACUUGAGCCCAGGAGUUCUGGGCUGUAGUGCACUAUGCCAAUUGGGUGUCCGCACUAAGUUCUGCUUCAGUAUGGUGACCUCCUGGGAGCGGGAGACCACCAGGUUGCCUAAGGAGGGGUGAACCAGCCCAGGUCAGAAACGGAGCAAGUCAAAACUCCCGUGCUGAUCAGUAGUGAGAUGGCGCCUGUGAAUAGCCACUGCACUCCAGCCUGGGCAACGUAGCAAGACCCGUCUCUA
ensembl:misc_RNA Metazoa_SRP Metazoan signal recognition particle RNA